UCUACAUCGGACAGUGAUCGGUUUGGGAUCGGCUUUGGGUUUGUGCGCACUUCUGAUUUUCUGUCUCACUUAUUUCAUACUGAGGAGAAGAAAAGGUGAUAAAAUGAAGACUUCUGUAGAAGAUUCUUCAGGAAUGAUGCAGGAAUCUGACACUGAAACGCUGAAUUACGCAGCUUUGCAAUUCACCAAGAAGAAAAGCAAAGCUGGAAACAGAAAAGCUGAAUUAUCAGAGGAUGUACUUUAGUGUGAAAUAAUCUUUUUUAAGCAUUAUUAUUAUUAUUAUUAUUAUUAUUAUUAUUAUUAUUAU